rnacentral:rRNA from 1 species
CCUACGGGAGGCUGCAGUGGGGAAUAUUGGACAAUGGGCGAAAGCCUGAUCCAGCCAUGCCGCGUGUGUGAAGAAGGCCUUCGGGUUGUAAAGCACUUUCAGUGGGGAAGAAAGCCUUGGGGCUAAUACCCUCGAGGAAGGACAUCACCCACAGAAGAAGCACCGGCUAACUCCGUGCCAGCAGCCGCGGUAAUACGGAGGGUGCGAGCGUUAAUCGGAAUUACUGGGCGUAAAGCGCGCGUAGGCGGUCUGAUAAGCCGGUUGUGAAAGCCCCGGGCUCAACCUGGGAACGGCAUCCGGAACUGUCAGGCUAGAGUGCAGGAGAGGAAGGUAGAAUUCCCGGUGUAGAGGUGAAAUGCGUAGAGAUCGGGAGGAAUACCAGUGGCGAAGGCGGCCUUCUGGACUGACACUGACGCUGAGGUGCGAAAGCGUGGGUAGCAAACAGGAUUAGAUACCCGAGUAGUC